GACCAGACUCCUACGGGAGGCAGCAGUGAGGAAUAUUGGUCAAUGGCCGGAAGGCUGAACCAGCCAAGUCGCGUGAGGGACGACUGCCCUAUGGGUUGUAAACCUCUUUUAUAAGGGAAGAAUAAAUGCUACGUGUAGCAUGAUGCCUGUACCUUAUGAAUAAGCAUCGGCUAACUCCGUGCCAGCAGCCGCGGUAAUACGGAGGAUGCGAGCGUUAUCCGGAUUUAUUGGGUUUAAAGGGUGCGUAGGCGGCCUGGAAAGUCAGCGGUAAAAUCGAGAGGCUCAACCUCUUUCCGCCGUUGAAACUGUCGGUCUUGAGUGGGCGAGAAGUAUGCGGAAUGCGUGGUGUAGCGGUGAAAUGCAUAGAUAUCACGCAGAACUCCGAUUGCGAAGGCAGCAUACCGGCGCCCGACUGACGCUGAGGCACGAAAGCGUGGGUAUCGAACAGGAUUAGAUACCCCAGUAAG
rnacentral:rRNA from 1 species